UGAUUCAUCAGUGAGAAUUACCCUAACGGAAUGUGACGAUAUACUGACAAGAUUACUAGAAAAAUAUCCUGAGGAAUACAAAUUGUACGAAUUGUCUUCAAUUGCAGUUGCUGUUGUAUUUCCAAUGUUACAGAGGCUAUUGGUUGGUUGGGAUCCUUCAUCUGACCCUACUGGUCCUGCUAAUGUAUUCAACCAAUGGAGGAACCUACUGAGGGAAUCAGAUUAUUCAUCAGCAGUUCCUCCUGAGCCUGAUAAGAUGGAUAAUUACGACAGAUUAGUUUGGGAGAUUUGGUUGCCAAAGUUUCGAUCAGUUUUAUCAUCAUGGUCACCAAAAUCUAAUGUAUGU